GACGAACGCUGGCGGCGUGCCUAAUACAUGCAAGUUGAGCGCCGAAGGUUGGUACUUGCAGCAACUGGAUGAGCAGCGAACGGGUUAGUAACUCGUGGGGAACCUCCCUUUGAGAGGGGGACAACAUUUGGAAACGAAUGCUAAUACCGCAUAAAAUCUUUAAACACAAGUUUUAAGUUUGAUAGAUGCGAUUGCAUCAUUAAAAGAUGAUACCGCGUUGUAUUAGCUAGUUGGUGAGGUAAGGGUGAACCAAGGCGAUGAUACAUAGCCGACCUGAGAGGGGGAUCGGCGACAUUGGGACGGAGACACGACCCAAACUCCUACGGGUGGCAGCAGUAGCGAAUCUUCGGGGAUGGAAGAAGGUGUGAACGAUCGACACCGCGUGAGUGAAGAAUGUUGUCGGGUCGUAAGACUGUGGAGGUAGUGAGGAUCGUAAGUGUGUGUGGAACGCGCAGCAAGUGACGGUAACGGCCCAAAAAGCGACGGCUAACUUCGUG
rnacentral:rRNA from 1 species